UUGUGUGUGAAUUUUCCACAACUCAUCUGCCCAGAUACCAGAAGUAUUGUACAGAAUAAUGAUGGUAAUGCUAUCCAUGUGUCAGCUGACAUGCUCUGUAAAUUGUACUGAUUCGAUGUAGAACACAGUAGCCUGCUUUGUUCUCAGCUGAAUUCACUGUCCUGGUUCAGUGAAAUGCGAAGCAGUAUUGCAGCAUGUUUUCUCAGCAGAACUGAAGACAAGCAAGUUAGAGAGAAGGUCCCAAGUGAGGGAUGGCAGGGGGGGAAUGGUUUGGGGAGUGGCACUCCAGCCUCCCUCCCUCCCUCGUUCUCUCCAACCAACCUGGCCAAGGUGACUGGACAGAGUGGGACAGAUUCCUGGUCAGCCAAUUGCAGAAGACACGACAACUCACUGCAAUAUCUCACCAAGGAUAACAUUAGGCCAGCACAGAGGUCCAUGAUUCCUAGUGCCCUUUCAGCACAUGGUGCUUAGAGAGGGAGGAAAUAAGCUGCUUGGCCAAGGUGGUGUAUGAAAUUUUCUCCAUUUCUCUUUAUGCCACGUUGUGUACUACAACCAUUGAACUCCCAAACCCUGUAACAACUAAUAGCUAUAUGAAAGAAAUUAACCAAUUUCCUUUUGAAUUGACCUCCCUCUCUUUCAUAAGGCAUGGUUUAACAUCUUGUACAGGAUGAGGAAUUGUCUCAUUUUUUCAGCCUGACUGUUGGUAGCAUAUCUUACCACUGCUUGUUUUGUUCAUCCUUCAGUAUGGGAGAGGACAGUUAGGAUUACAUCUCAUUUCGCACAGUGAGUGUUUUGAUGAUGGAUGAGGCUGACUGAUGCUCAGAGGAUGAGUGCCUUGUAAAUUGAACAGUGAACUUUGCAUACACCAAGUCAAAAAUUUUGACGAUUUUUUUAGAUGAGGCUUUCUUGAUUGGUAUUUACGUUCAUCAGUGAUUGUAGAAGAGAACGGGGGGAUUUUAAAAUCCAGCAAAUGAUAAUCAAGCAAUUGAUAAUGAGGGACAAAAGAGAAUAACAUAGUUAGUGACACAAAACAGAUAGUAAAGGUUUCUGCAGGUCGAUAAAAAGGGGAAAAUCACUGAGAACAAAUGUGAGUUCCUGAGAGACAGAGACAGGAGAAAUCAUGAACAUUGGAGCAAGGAAUGACAAUAGGCCACUUGGCCCUUGAACCACCAUUUAAUGUGAUUGUGGCUGAUUUGAUUUUAACCUCGACUCUACGUUCCUGCAUACUCCCAAUAAUCUUUCAAUCCCUGUUAAUCUAGCUAAUUAAACCUUAAAAAUAUUUAAAGUAUCUGCAGCCACUGCCUUUUCAGGAAGGGAAUUUCGAAGACUCUCAACCCACUGAGAGGAAACAUGUUUGCUCAUCUCUGUUUACAUUUGCAGCACUUUGCUUUUAAACUGAGAUCCCUAGUUUUAGAUUCUCCCACAUCUCACCCAGUCCUGUCAACUUAGGAUCCUAUACAUUUCAAUAAAAUUACCCCUGACUCUUCUAAACUCCGAAUACAUGUCUGUCAUGCCUAGCCAUUCCUCAUAAGGUAAUCUACUCAUUCUAGGUAUUAAUUUAGUAAACCUUCUCUGAAUUGCUUCCAAUGCAUUAACAACUUUCCCUAAGCACAGUGACCAUUAUUAGACGCAGUCCUCCAGAUCUUGUUUCACUAGUGCAAUAUACAAUUGAAGCAUAACUUUACUACUCUU